rnacentral:rRNA from 1 species
AGAGUUUGAUCAUGGCUCAGAACGAACGCUGGCGGCGUGGAUAAGACAUGCAAGUCGAGCGAGAUUUUUCGCUGUAGCAAUACAGUGGAAAGUCUAGCGGCGAACGGGUGCUUAACACGUGGGCAACCUGCCAGGAAGUGGGGGAUAGCUCGCCGAAAGGCGAAUUAAUACCGCAUGUGAUUAGAGAGGACAUCCUUUCGAAAUUAAAGUCGGGGCAACCUGACGCUUCUUGUGGGGCCCGCGGCCUAUCAGCUAGUUGGUGAGGUAACGGCCCACCAAGGCUUUGACGGGUAGCUGGUCUGAGAGGACGACCAGCCACACUGGGACUGAGACACGGCCCAGACACCUACGGGUGGCAGCAGUCGAGAAUUUUUGACAAUGGGGGAAACCCUGAUCGAGCGACGCCGCGUGGAGGAUGAAGGUCUUCGGAUUGUAAACUCCUGUCAUUGGGGAACAAGGUGCAUACGUUAACUGCGUGCGCAUUGAUAGUACCCGAAGAGGAAGAGACGGCUAACUCUGUGCCAGCAGCCGCGGUAAUACAGAGGUCUCAAGCGUUGUUCGGAUUCAUUGGGCGUAAAGGGUGCGUAGGCGGCGCGGUAAGUCGGGUGUGAAAUCUCGGAGCUUAACUCCGAAACUGCAUUCGAUACUGCCGUGCUUGAGGACUGGAGAGGAGACUGGAAUUUACGGUGUAGCGGUGAAAUGCGUAGAUAUCGUAAGGAAGACCAGUGGCGAAGGCGGGUCUCUGGACAGUUCCUGACGCUGAGGCACGAAGGUCAGGGGAGCAAACGGGAUUAGAUACCCCAGUAGUCC